rnacentral:rRNA from 1 species
UACGUAGGGUGCAAGCGUUAAUCGGAAUUACUGGGCGUAAAGCGUGCGUAGACGGCUAUCUAAGUCGGGUGUGAAAGCCCCGGGCUCAGCCUGGGAAUUGCAUUCGAGACUGAAUAGCUAGGGUGCGGUAGAGGGAAGCGGAAUUUCCGGUGUAGCGGUGAAAUGCGUAGAUAUCGGAAGGAACAUCAGUGGCGAAAGCGGCUUCCUGGACCAGCACCGACGUUCAGGCACGAAAGCGUGGGGAGCAAACAGG